rnacentral:rRNA from 1 species
AUUGAACGCUGGCGGCAGGCCUAACACAUGCAAGUCGAACGGUAACAGAAAGCAGCUUGCUGCUUUGCUGACGAGUGGCGGACGGGUGAGUAAUGUCUGGGAAACUGCCUGAUGGAGGGGGAUAACUACUGGAAACGGUAGCUAAUACCGCAUAACGUCGCAAGACCAAAGAGGGGGACCUUCGGGCCUCUUGCCAUCGGAUGUGCCCAGAUGGGAUUAGCUAGUAGGUGGGGUAACGGCUCACCUAGGCGACGAUCCCUAGCUGGUCUGAGAGGAUGACCAGCCACACUGGAACUGAGACACGGUCCAGACUCCUACGGGAGGCAGCAGUGGGGAAUAUUGCGCAAUGGGCGCAAGCCUGAUGCAGCCAUGCCGCGUGUAUGAAGAAGGCGUUCGGGUUGUAAAGUACUUUCAGCGGGGAGGAAGGGAGUAAAGUUAAUACCUUGGCUCAUUGACGUUACCCGCAGAAGAAGCACCGGCUAACUCCGUG